CAUUUUCUUGUGUGUGGACUUUAAUAGAGAUUGAGUGUACUAUUCUUGACACAGAACCCUUAAAUAGUUUACUAUUCCAUACAAUGGCCCCACACCUUCCGGAUAGAUCUUUGUUAUCAUUCACAGGCCCUUCAGGAUAUGACAUCAUCUUGCCUCUCACACUUUCUCUUCUGCUGACCUCCUAUGUUCUGUGGCUACAAUGGAUCCAUUUCCAUAAAUGUAUCAUGCUUUCUCACACCUCAGUGCUAUACCGAUCAUAGUGAAACUGAGUCAUUCAGUCACUCACUCUCCCUUAUUUGAUAAAAAUUGUUACGGGUCUCACACAUGUUGAUGUAUUAAUUAUGUUUCCAAAAACAUUGGAGUUCCUGCAGAAUAAACUCUGCAGGCUAAUUAGAAUAAUGGAUAACCUUUAAAAAAUCCCAAUAGUCUACUUACAGAUGAAUUUGCGCUCUGUAGCAUUGAGCUCUUUAAAAAAAAAAAAAAAAAAAAAAAAGCAAGCUCAUACAAUAUCAACUAGAACAAAAGGAAACUAUAGCACUUCUACCCACUAUUUUCUUCUUCCCUGUGGAAAGAGGUUUUUACAAGUCCCCACAUAGUUUUUCUUAGUUUCUUCUGGUAUCAGGCUAAAUGCAUGAGCCUCCUUGCUUUAAUUCUAGAAAUGCUGGAGGACUGUGGGUGGUUCUUGGGUUUCUUCCUAAUGGGGUAUAUACAAUGCCU
rnacentral:lncRNA from 1 species